UGUUGGCAGGAGCACCUGGAGCACUGCUGCACCACUUGGUGUCUGUGAGAAGGCAGAGGCUGUUAGUCAGUCCUGAAAUGAUUUGCUCAUGGAAGGGAUUGGCAGUAGCACCACAACACCAUCAGCUGCUGAGUUUCCCUGGACAAUUGGAUUGUUCAGGGGCACUGUAGUGUUUCAUUGUGAUCUUCUGUCAGUUCUUCUGGGAAAAACACUAGCCCAGUCUGUGAUGUUCAGUGCUCCAUUUGCUGUGUGUCUAUGUCUUAGCUGAUGCAAAGCAAAUAUUUCCUCCAGAUCCAAAGAGCUGUGCCUGAAAAUUCACAGAGCUACAUCCAUUUCUGAUUUUUUUAAAAAGUUUUCCAGAGCCCGCUGAUAAUUUUCAAGGUUUUCAGAGAACCACAGAAUAAUGAGGUUGGAAGACAUGUCUAGGAUCAUCAAGACCAACCUAUGCCCCAACACCUCAAUUAGACUAUAGCACCAAAUGCCAUAUUCCACCAUUUUUAAAACACAUCCAAAGAUACUGAUUCCACCACCUCCCUGGGAAGAACAUUCCAGUACUUUAUUAUUCUUUUGGUUAACUUUUUUUUCCUAAUAUCCAACCUGUACCUUCCCUGACGUAUCUUGAGACUGUGUCCUCUUGUUCUGUCAGUCACUGCCCGGUGAAAGAGACUGACCCCCACCUGUCUACAACCUCCCUUCAGGAAGUUGUAGAGAGCAAUAAGGUCACCUCUAAGCCUCCGUUUCUCCAGGCUAAACAACCCCAGUUCCUUCAAACAUUCCUCAUAGGGCUUGUGUUCCAAGCCCCUCACCAGCCUUGUUGCCCUCCUCUGGACGUGCUCAAGCAUCUCAACAUCCUUCCUAAACUGAGGGGCCCAGAACUGGACACAGUACUCAAGGUGCGGCCUCACCAGCGCCGAGUACAGGGCAAGAAUGACCUCCCUGCUCCUGCUGGCCACACAAUUCCUACUGCAGGCCGGGAUGCCAUUGGCCUUCUUGGCCACCAAGGCACAUUGCUGGCUCAUAUUCAACCAGCUGUCAACCAGCACCCCCAGGUCCCUUUCUGCCUGAACACUGUCCAGCCACACUGUCGCCAGCUUGUAACAUUGUAGGGGAUUUUUGUGGCCAAAACGUAGAACUCGGCACUUAGACUUAUUAAACUUCAUGCUGCUGGACUCUGCCCAUCCAUCCAACUGAUCCAAGUCUCUCUGCAGAGCCCUCCUUCCUUCCAGGAGAUCAACACAAGCUCCCAGCUUAGUGUCAGCUGCAAAUUUACUAAUGAAGGACUCGAUGCCCUCAUCCAUGUGGUCUAUAAAAAUAUGAAAUAGGACUGGUCCCAGCACAGAGCCCUGAGGGACAGCACUGGUGACUGGCCGCCAGCUGGAUGCAGCACCGUUCACCAUCACUCUCUGGCCCGGCCAUCCAGCCAGUUCCUAACCCAGCCAAGAGUGCUCCUGUCCAAGCCGUGGGCUGCCAGCUUCUCCAGGAGUGUGCUGUGGGAGACAGUAUCAAAGGCCUUGCUGAAGUCUAAAUAGACCACAUGCACAGCCUUUCCUGCGUCCACCAGGCGGGUCAGCUGGUCACAGAAGGAGACCAGGCUGGUCACACAUGGCCUACCCUUCGUAACCCCUGAUGACUGGCUCUGAUACCCUGGCCAUGCUGUGUCACAUUGGCCAGUUUCCAAUCAUCUGGAACCUCACGAGUGAGCCACGACUCCUGGUAAAUGAUGGAGAGCGGCUUGGCAACCUCAUCUGCCAGCUCCCUCAUCACCCUAGGGUGAAUCCCAUCUGGUCCCAUUGAUUUUUAAAUAUCCAAGUGUCCCAGCAGUUCUCUGACUGCCUCCUCUUGGAUAAUAAGAGGACCAUUCUGAUCCCUGGCACCACCUACCAACCCUUGAGGACAGUUGUCAUGAGGAUAAGCUGUCUUACCACUAAAGACUGAGGUGAAGAAAACAUUAAGCACUUCCGCCUUUUCCGCAUCUUUAGUAACUAGUUUGCCUGCUCCAUCCAAUAAGGAACCGAGGUUGGUUAUACCCUUCCUUUUACCAUUAAUAUAUUUGUAAAAACUUUUUUUAUUAUUUUUAACAGAAGUUGCCAAGUUGAGUUCAAACUGA